rnacentral:ncRNA from 1 species
CUAAAUUAGAUCGUAGAAAUUAUUAGUUAUUCAGUGCUGUUUAGAGAGCUUACACCGGGUGAAAGUAAGUCAGUAAGGGGUAAUGAACUCAUUCUAUGCUAGCUUAAUUGAAAAAAGUAGAUUAAGCCGUGAUAUCAACGUUAUCGAUAUUAAGCAAAUAUAAUAUAAGAAAUAGAUUAUAUUUGAAAAUUAGGUGGUACCGCGUUAAGACGCCCUAUGU